rnacentral:rRNA from 1 species
CUAGCAUAUCAAUAAGCGGAGGAAAAGAAACCAACAGGGAUUGCCUUAGUAACGGCGAGUGAAGCGGCAACAGCUCAAAUUUGAAAUCUGGCUCCCUUGGGGGCCCGAGUUGUAAUUUGUAGAGGAUGCUUCGGCGUGGGCCCCGGUCUAAGUUCCUUGGAACAGGACGUCACAGAGGGUGAGAAUCCCGUACGUGGCCGUGGGUGCUCGCCAUGUGAAGCUCCUUCGACGAGUCGAGUUGUUUGGGAAUGCAGCUCUAAAUGGGAGGUAAAUUUCUUCUAAAGCUAAAUACUGGCCAGAGACCGAUAGCGCACAAGUAGAGUGAUCGAAAGAUGAAAAGCACUUUGGAAAGAGAGUCAAAAAGUACGUGAAAUUGUUGAAAGGGAAGCGCUUGCAACCAGACCUGCCUGCGGUUGCUCAUCCGGGCUCUUGCCCGGUGCACUCUUCCGCAGUCAGGCCAGCAUCAGCUCUGGCGGUCGGAUAAAGGCGGCGGGAAUGUGGCUCCCCUCGGGGAGUGUUAUAGCCCGCCGUGCAAUGCGGCCAGCCGGGACUGAGGUCCGCGCUUCGGCUAGGAUGCUGGCGUAAUGGUUGUAAGCGGCCCGUCUUGAAACACGGACCAAGGAGUCUAACAUCUGUGCGAGUGUUUGGGUGUCAAGCCCAGGCGCGUAAUGAAAGUGAACGGAGGCGGGAACCUUCGGGUGCACCGUCGACCGAUCCUGAUGUCUUCGGAUGGAUUUGAGUAAGAGCAUAGCUGUUGGGACCCGAAAGAUGGUGAACUAUGCCUGAAUAGGGUGAAGCCAGAGGAAACUCUGGUGGAGGCUCGCAGCGGUUCUGACGUGCAAAUCGAUCGUCAAAUUUGGGCAUAGGGGCGAAAGACUAAUCGAACUAUCUA